CGCUUUUCAGACCACUUAGUCUCCUGUACCGCUCAAAAAUGCACAAUAUGUGUGUAAAUAAUUUUAGGAUAUAAGGAAGUGCUGAGAUAUACCGUGUUAAAAGUCCACCUGUGCGUUCUAGAACUACAAUACCCAUGAUGCAUCUUUGUUUUUGUAGUUCGACUUUCACGUAGAUGAGAAAGUUAUUUUCUGUGUGGCUCGGUGGCAUAAAAAAUCCAUCAACGGAUAGCAUCCACCAUCAAUCCUUCUUUAAUCCCGUGUGUAUGAGACCUGUGUGCGUUUUUAUUAUGCAAGUAUACAUUUUUCUGCCCGAUAUUUGGGUUUAUGUCAUGAAAUAAAGUUAUACA